CUCCUACGGGAGGCAGCAGUGGGGAAUUUUGGACAAUGGGCGAAAGCCUGAUCCAGCCAUUCCGCGUGCAGGACGAAGGCCCUCGGGUUGUAAACUGCUUUUGUACGGAACGAAAAGGCGCUUUCUAAUACAAGGCGCUCAUGACGGUACCGUAAGAAUAAGCACCGGCUAACUACGUGCCAGCAGCCGCGGUAAUACGUAGGGUGCAAGCGUUAAUCGGAAUUACUGGGCGUAAAGCGUGCGCAGGCGGUGAUGUAAGACAGUUGUGAAAUCCCCGGGCUCAACCUGGGAACUGCAUCUGUGACUGCAUCGCUGGAGUGCGGCAGAGGGGGAUGGAAUUCCGCGUGUAGCAGUGAAAUGCGUAGAUAUGCGGAGGAACACCGAUGGCGAAGGCAAUCCCCUGGGCCUGCACUGACGCUCAUGCACGAAAGCGUGGGGAGCAAACAGGAUUAGAUACCCUGGUAGUCCACGCCCUAAACGAUGUCAACUGGUUGUUGGGAAUUCAUUUUCUCAGUAACGAAGCUAACGCGUGAAGU
rnacentral:rRNA from 1 species